CGGCGGGAGGCGGCCUCCCUUACCCACAAGGCCCCGCUGCGAUACAGCGGCCGCGUAGCUGAGCGCUCACUCAGCGCCCGUCUGUAACCGCGCCGGGAGGGAGCGGAGGGCCGCGAUGGAAAGGGAUCGUCGAAGUGAUCUCCCGCCCAGUGCCCGGCUGCGGGGUGCGGUGGUGCGAUUGGGGCCGCGGCUGCAGCGUGAGGGGCGAAAAGCGCUCUUCUGACAGCACGUUAGGGGACAAAAAGGAGCUGAGCUGUGCGGGGCCGGGCGUGAAGAGGGAAAACCCCACAAGGAUGAGGUGGUUGGAACAGCCUCUAGAAGGACGGGCUGAGCCGCAGCAUCUGGGGGACAACGGGCUGCACACCAGGGCCAGCCCGACCUCACCCGGAGGAGGAGGAGGAUAGGUGAUGGAGGUGGAUAUGCUGUGAGGUAGGGACCCAGGCCUCCUGGAAAGGGUGGCACAGAGAUGGAGUUCGUGCCCCCGGGCAGCGUGGUGAAGACAACAGGCACUGGCUGCAGCGGCUGGUGGAGAUAGCAAGGACCUCACGGAGAAAAGAUGAACGUUUUCGUUUUGGCAUGUUGCCUUACAGCUGAUAGCUGAAUGGCAAUGAGCUGAUGUCAGGAAAUGGGCAAAUAGUUUGACUUGAAAGGAAAAGGAUUGAAAGAGCAGUAAAUACAUGAGUCACUGGCAUGGCUCUGAGUGAGGUCACCCUGUGCAGUGUUCUGAGUCAGGACCCUGGGGCUGAACAACCCCCUCCCCCCGUUCCAGGGAUUCAGAUCUGAAUGUUAACCCUAACCCCAUCAUUGGGCUUUAUUUUACAGAAAGAGGGAUCAAAAUCCCUGAAUCUAACAGAAGCACGUGUGUGUGUGUGUGUGUGUGUAUGUAUGUGUGUGUGUGUGAAUGCUGUAACCAUCGAAUCUGGGUUCAGGCACUGAAUCCUUCACUGAAAUGCAUUCAGGAGUUGGUGGGUUUCCUGGAGGAAUGGGUGAAAGUUUUCUUGGGAGAUGCACUUUAUCUACGUUGAAGGGCUACCUCUUUCCCAAAGCAGCUUGUGAUCCACUUUGUAAUAUUCAUGCAAAAUAAAUCACAUAAUUUGCUCAAGCAGUCUAUGCUGAAAUGACAAAAGACAAAGGGGCAACAACUGGUAGUUUUUGCUAGCAUUAGGAUGUAGGUGCUAGUAAGGUCGCAAAGUUACAUGAGCUACCACUUCAACCCUUAGAAGCUGUAAAUUACCUACAAGAAACUAUUUCUUCCUGUAUGGCCUACUUUUGAGUAGGCUAAUUUCUUUUAAGUAGUACGGUAGAAAUGUAUUUUAGUGUUUAGUGUUGUAUUUUUUGUUUUGUUUUUAAAUAAUAGUUUUAAAUGGGUUUGGACGAAAGACAAAAUGUGAGGAACACGUAGUCAACACAGAGCCCAUGCCUGGUUUUGUUACUGGCAGCAGGAAUCUUUAGGGUGAUUUCAGUGAGCUUUCAGUCAAGCACCAGACGAUUUGAAGAUGUAAGUUCUCUUCCAAGGCAAGCUGCAUCUCUUUCCUCAUUUUUGUUUUUUAAAUCUCUAGAGUAAAGUUUGUAAAAAAUGAAUCUAAUUCUUUAUCUAGCCCAUAUGGUUCAGUGAUAUUGUCUAGGGAAAUGUUUACACACAUAACAAAGCAAUUCUUAAAUAAGCAUAAUGUCUUUUUUUUGCAUGCAAAAAAAAAAAAAAAAAGUGUGAUUGUGACUUCAAAAGUGAGUUUGUAGAAACAGUAAGUACCUUUUUGAAAUUCUUUCCCAAUAGAUCUAUUCCGCCAGCAUUCAGGACAUGGCUGUUUACUGUUGAAGCAAGUUUUACUCUAUUAAUGUUAGAAAGCCAUAUUCACAAUGGCAGCAUCGGCUGAAUUCCAUUGUGUGACACAAAUCCGCAACAAAAUUGUCAGCUCUAUUCUACCAGCAGAAUAAUUAUUACUCGUUAUAAAUGGUUAAGUGACAAAAUGAGCACUUUGAAAGUCAGAUCCUGCCCUUGGUGUGCAGGGUUUGUAUUUAGGAAAACACUGUUUUAACACGUUAGUUGAACAAGUUAAUAUGGAUGUCCUGAAGGAAAAACACCACCAUCUUGUGUGAUCUUUUUUCAGUUCUACCUUUUCUGCCUGUAAUAACAUGCAUCUCUUAGAGUAACACCUACCCCUAACACUAACCAUCUAAGGAAGAGCUGUUUUGGCUUUGUCCACGCAUAGCUGUUUUGAAGUCUGAUGCAGUGAACUGUCAACUGUUGUUUGCCAUGUUUUGAAAGGCAAAGCCUGAGACUCUCAGGGUGCUCUGAAAGCAGACUGCAGCUGCAAGCAUGCAAAUCCACAGCUGGGUCCUUCACCUUUCUCCUCUGCUCUCUGAGAUACCAUUUAAUUAUUUUGUUGCUUAAAUCCAACUAUGUUUUAGGUGUCCAGUAGCACUCAUGAGUUUGCUGUUGACCAUUUUCAGAACUGUCUGUUUUUUCUAAGCAAGUUGCAAAGAAAUGAGUAAAGUGGUCAUUGAUCUGCUCAGAGCUUCAUGAAAGCAGGUUUUAAUCCCUCAGCACAUCCCCUGUCAGAGUAUCGCACACUUUUAAUCCGUAGGGCUGUGAGUUAUGAAUCACCAGGUUCAGAUGUGAGGGUGGUGAGACACUGGAUCGGGCUUCCCAAAGUUCUUGAUGCUCCAUGCCUGUCAGUGUUCAAGAUGCAUUUGAACAAUGCCCUCAGUAACAUGCUUAACUUUUGGUUAGCUCUGAAGUGAUCAGGUGAUUGGACUUGGUCAUCUUUGAAGGUCCAUCUCAACUGGACUGUUCAGUUCUGCUCUAGAUUGUUCCUUCAGAGGACUGCCACAAGUAUCAGGCCUUCUCAGGAAGACAAGGAAUUUUGAUCUGGGUUUCAGACAUGCUUUAACUACUAGCAUUCACAAGAGAGGGAAAGGGAGAUAAGCCAUUCAUUUGUGCAUCUGCUUUAGGAGAAGGGGCUGCUCUAUUCUUAGCAUUUGCUGCUGGCUACUUAAGGCUUUUGUGAAUCCUCUUCCUAGGUUCCCAUUCUCUACAAUCCAUGCAAAAUGAGCAUAAGAGCACUGUGGAGGAGGGAAUAGAUUUGACUAAUUGGUAGGGCGCCCAGAAAUUAGGUGUAGCAACUCACGCGGCCCUAGUCCAUGUUUGGGUUUUACAUAUGAGUUGCCAGUGAUCUCCUGGACUAACUCUGUGGAGAGAACGUUAAUUGACUCUCAUCACAGAAUCACUUGGGUUGGAGGGGACUCUUAAAGAUCAUCUAGUGCAACCCUCUUGCCAUGGGCAAGCACAACUCUCACCAGACAAAGCUCCAUCGAAUGCAACUUUGAACACCUCCAGGGAUGGGGCAUCCACAGCUUCUUUGGGCAGCCUCUGCCACAGUCUGACCACUCUCACCAUGAAGAAUUUCGUGUAUCCAAUCUAAAUCUACUCUCCAUCUCAACCAGUGAGAAACAGGUUGUAACAACAGAGUAAGAAAGACACUAAAACAAAUAGUCCAAGCAAAUACACAAGCUUCAGAUAUGUCAAACCACUACAGGAAAGGUGUGCGAGCAUUGGCCCUGCAUGCUGAGGAGCCCAGACACUGCUCUGACAGCCUGUGCAUCGCAUUCUGUUGUGGAGGAAGUAGGGCAAGAGGCUGUGGCUUGAUAAUGAGGUCUCAGGGCUUUGGAGGUUAUAGCUAAAGAUCGUCAUCCUGCCUCCAGACAAUAGUCUGCAUUUACUUCACUAGCGUAACAGGAGCUUUAUUUUUAGAUUCAUAAAUAUGAAAUAGGGAAGUAAAGAAAUGUAAGCCUAGUGAUUUAUUUUGGUUUAUUUUGAUUAUUUUCUUGCUUUUUAAAAAAUUUUUCUUUCUCACGUGCUGGUGUUUAAUCGGUCUAAUGGUUAAAAAAUAUUUCUUCUGGAUUAAAAAUUAAGCAUUUUUUGUGUCUUCAGGUUAAUGAAAAUAGACAGUAAGGAAGGUACUUGACUUUGUAUGUCUGGGACAUGUCAGAGUAGGUGUUUUAAAGGGAUUGUAAGGUUAAGUAUUCAGCCGCAAUCAUCGUUGUUGAUUUUCUUAUUCUACUGUUGUCUUGGUGCAAGUAUUACAAUUAUACAAAGUACACCAAAAAGCGCAUUUUUAAAUAUUUUUCACUUAAUUCACAAUACAGCAUCUGUUGCAUUGCAACUAGUGGCUUUACAUACAGGCAGCCUUUCAAAACCCUGCAUUUGCAAACCAUCUCUCAGUCAGAACAACACUACCACAUCAAUCAUGGGCACAGGCAAGCUAUAAAAUUACAAAACCACUCAGCCAUCUGUAUAAUUAAAUACAAACCAAAGUAAUCGAGCAAAUGUUAAAGAAAAUAUCUUUAUAUUGUAAAUUUUAGAGGAAAGGGCCUACAUCUACUGUUUCUGACUGGGAAGGAUGGUAUCUUUGUCUCUGAUAGAUGUGCCUUAUUAUUGCUGCCCACUCUUUCAAGCAGCAUAGCCUGCUCGCUGAGCAAUGCAGAAAUAUUAGUUGGCACCGCUUGCUGUCUAAAAGUUAGUAUCUAAAUCACAAAUACCAAAGAAUCAGGUAAAGGAGGUGUGAAAUGAGUAGAGUAGGUGCGUAAGGGCUGGGUGUGUCCCUGUAACACGCGAUGUCGCCUUUGUUGUCUUUGAUUUCAGGCGUUUCAUAACCCCAGCUAAUGUUAGCAAGGUAGUUUUGUAGUCUCUUGGAUGCAUUGGGAAGACAGAAGUGAAACAGUGAAUCUAGGUUAAUUGAAAUGCUUAGGUGAUGUUGAUGUGCCAGAUUCUGUUCUGCAGAUCUCAGGAGGAAACAUGCAGUAAGCAUAGCUCAGAGAGUAAGGACAAUGUGACCUAAAGUUUUCUUUUGCUGCUCUCUACGCUUAGCUUAAAGCCUGAAGCUCUCCAGCCCAUAGACAUGAAUCACAGCAGUUGAAGGGACUGCUCUGAUGAAAUCCUCCCUGUCUUGCUGUGAGCAGGCUGCUUAUACCUCACUGUACCUUAGAGCCAAGGAGGAUUUCUGCUGAUCUUAGUUCUCUGCAUGUAUCACCUCUGCAUUUCAGAUCAAACCUUUAAAUAUCUGCAGUAUUGAUUGUUGGCGUAAGAACCAUUGUAGGCACCUAAAUCUUUCUUCUGCUCUGGCUUUUAGCCAUGAAUAUGCAGGAACUGGCUUGGAGAGUGACAGUAAAACCCUUGGCACCCAACACUUCUUGCAAUUAGGGUGAAAUGGCAGUGGAAGAUGACUCGUAUAGAACAAGCUAAAUCAAGAUGAUUAUUGCUGCAGUUCUUGUGCAUCUCUGAAUGCCCACAUUAUGUAUCUCCAUGUUAGCACUGUCAUUCCUGCAAUCUGUUUUUCAUCAGGACUUAGCUACUGUUAAUUGUGGGGAAAACAAGCUGUGUAGCUGAUGCUGGUGUGUGAACAACCGUGGUUGCUGCGUCUGCUCUUGGGGAGCUUGCAGGGCUGUAAAAACAGAAAUAAAAGCAGUUGUGAGUGUACCAGGGAAGACAAAGCUUUGCAGAUAAGAGUUUACGCACUUUGAGAAAUUGCAUCAUCUUGUUUUUAAAUGGUAGCAGAGUCAAGCAGUGAAAUCAACAGCACUGGGAAAGAAGAGAAUGACCAGAAACCUCAGUAUUUUACUCCUCCUCGGAAAAGAAAAUAUACAAUUUUCUUAUUUUCUCCUCAUUUUGUCCAACAAGAAAGAAAGUCAUGUUUGUCAAUUUAUUGUUAGGCUUACCUGUCCAAUAGUAAAUGGGACAACUUUGUGAAGAGGAUGGCAUAGGGAUGCUCUCAGUUUUGCUGCAGUCCAGAUGAGUGCUUCAUCUAGGAUUUGGGGAUGCGUGAUGAUACUAAAGCAAAACACUGUAUGGGUAAGAAGAAAUUAGGUACAAAAAAAUGAAAAUGGUCAUAAAAAUGAUAAUCACAACUGAAUUGGAAAAAAAUCUUUGAACCUUUCAACAAAUUUGAUGUCAGGUAAGCUUUGGAAUUCUUAAAUUGUUAAAAAAUUAAAUCUUAAUUUCAAUAAUAAGUGAUUUUCAAAUAAAUUACUGUUCCCAGGAUGAUUUAGUAUAAAUGAAAAUAGGAAGUAUAAAUCUGUGUCUUAAAAGGAGGCAAAUAUGACUGUUACCAAACUCUAUGUAGCCUUGGCAGCAUACAAUGUUUAAAAAGGCAUUGAUGUGCGAAUAACAAAAGCGUAGAAGAAAGUAGGAAAUCAUUUAAAUGUAGACUGUGCCUGACUAACAUAAAUACAAAAUUUGGGGGAAAAAAUAAAAAAAAUGUGGCUGAUCUCAUUUACUUUGUCUUCAGUUAAUAGUUUGAUGUGGUAAGGCUGGCGAUGAUAGGAGUUAAUGGUAGGAAUGGAGAUGGUAGAAAUUCCAAGGACCAGCCUUGGUCAGUCUUGUUAACCUUGUAACACUUCUGAGUUAACCUUUUUGUGUAACAGCACAAAAUCAAGGAGUGUAAUCAGCACACUUGUUGGGUGCUUGCACAAAAUCAGAAGACAGCAUCAACAGAGGGUUGAGCCUGGAAACAUUCAUUUCCUAGACUGGAAAUAAGAGGAAAGUUCCUUGUUAUGAGCACUAAGGGUUUAGUACAGCCUGUAUGUGAGUAAAGGAAGCUGGAAAAUAACCAUGUUCAACAGGGCAGUAUAUCUUUAAAGGGCUGUGCGAUGUAGUGGAUGGAAUUGCAGGGACAGAGGUUGGGAGCCCUCGGUGUUGCUGUCAGCUCUUUGCUGCUGUGGCUGCACUCGUAAUGGUUUAUGAAGAGUAUAGUGUGGCCCGAAUGGAAGUGAGAACAAAUGAUUUCAUGACUGAAGACUUUGUGAAGGUGGCAUUUUUUAUUCAAAAGUCACGAUGAAUAUAGCAAACCUUGCAUGGUUUUGGCGGAACCAAACUGGCUAGUUUUCCUUGCUUGGGAAAGGAAGGUUUCCUUGCACCUGCCUUCCUUGGGGGUAUUACUUUGCACAGACUAUUAAAAGUUCUGCUUCACCAAUGUAGAAUAUUUGCUCUGGAUGCUUGAAAGAAGAGCAGCAAUCUCCUUUUAUCUCAUGAAAUUCUAGAAUCACAGAAUAGCUUGAGUUGGAAGGGAUCUCAAAACCCAUCCAGUUCUAACCAUCUGCUCCGGGCAGCCUGUUCCAGUGCUUCUCCCCCCUGACAGUGAAUAAUUUUUUCCCGAUAUCUAAUCUAAAUCUACCCUCUUUAAAUUUAGAAUCAUUCAGCACAGAGAUACUCAGGAUGAGGAAAUCCCACUUCUGUCCUAGGAAAUUUGAAGCAGAAUCCUGCUUUCUAGAAAGCUGCCCAAAGCAGCAAGGAUCUCAUGUGGGAGAAAGGGGAAGAUCUUCCUCAUGCUGGAGCUGCUCCCCCGCACAAAGGCACUGAGCUCACAGGUCAGCAAGGAGGAAUGUGACUUUGGUGCUUCCCACCCUGGAAGCAGCACUCAUUGGGCCCAUGUCCUUCUGCAGCAUCCAAGCAGUACCAGGGAGGAUCAGGGGCACCUGCUUCAAGCAGCCUUUGCUAGGGAAGCAAGGCCUAUUGUGCCCCUUACAGCUAGUGCUUAUUUCUUCAGCUUUCCAUUUUUUUUCCCUCUCUUCACAGCCCCUUUCAUCUGGAGGGGGACUAAUAUUAAAUUCAGUAUGAAAAUGACAUCUUCUCUAUUCAACUAAUUUAGAACUAAUACAGAGAAGUAUCUCUGUCGCUGAGCAGACUGCUACCUUUUUGGUAGUUUAAAUAAUUUGUGCCAUGCAGCAAGGCACAAAUAAAACCAUAGGAAACAAAAAUAAUAACUAAGGAAAUAUCUACAAGAAACUGAUGGCAGCACGGGAGAUUUACUGUAGAGCAGGGUUCCAGCUCUUAACUGGAAGCUUGAUGUUGCCUGCAGAAUGGAAAUACAGUGAGAUUUCACUUAGAAAACAAAGAAAUUGAAUGAAAUGAAAUUGAAUGAAAUGAAAUUCACUUAGUAAACAAUGAAAAUGAGAGGGCAGUGAGACACUGGCACAACUGCCCAGAGAGCUGUGGGUGCCCCAUCCCUGCAGGCGCUCAAGGCCGGGUUGGGUGGGCCCUGGGCAGCCUGAGCUUGUGGGGGGCAACCCUGUCCAUGUCAGGGGUUUGGAACUAGGUGAUCUUUGAGGUCCUUUCCAACCCAAGCCAUUCUGUGAUUCUAUGCAAUUUGGAUUUUUUUUCAGAAUUCUCCAAUCCGCUGUCCAGAACACCCCUGUAAAAGAUGGCUGGGGACAUGAAAACCCCGGAACCUGGGCUAGCAAGUGGCUGGGAUGCCUGAGGUGCUGAAGGAUGCAGCUGGGCAUCGAGGGGAAACUCCUUUUUUUUUUUAUUUUUUUUUUAUUUUUUUAUACGGUGUUUCCAAUCACCGUGCUUGGUGCUGAGAGGAUUUUGCACAUGUAGAGAAAUGCGGAGUGAGGUGGUGGAGCCAGAGCGGGCUUGGACAGCCCUCUGGUGGCCUGGGAACCGGGCUGACGGCUGGGACAGGGAUUAGAAUUAGGAAAAAUUCAUCCCUUCCUUUCCUUUUUCACCAGAAUUUCUCUUGGCGCUCCGCAGCAGCUUUGGUUUAUGUCAACACCAGACACAAGGAUGCAUUUCAGUUCCUGUUUGGCCACUGUAAAGACACACUGGGAGAUGAAAGAGAGAGGAGGAAUGGGUUAAGGUUAUCUCCAGGUUUAUUUAAAUAUCCAAUUAUUUAACCUAGAGAAGGAAAAAAAUCUGUCACUGUUGAAAAAUGUGCAGGUCACUGAAUAUAAGUCAGAUUUUGCAUAUUUUCCUGUCUCAUAAAAAAGGAAUGAUAGAAUACCAAACUAAAAAUAGGGAAAAAAAAGAACAAAACAUCUAUAUGUAAAAUUAAAAUGAUAAACAUCUCUUUGUGUAGUUGUACAUUUUGGUUUUUCAGUGUCAGUUGUCAGUAAAAUGCUAAUUUUGAUCACGUGCUAGGAACACUGAAUUACUUUGCAAUUUGAUUUCUCAGAGGAUGUGCAGUAAAGACUGAGAGCAUCAGCAAGCCCUGGGGCAGGAUCCCUGAAAAGAGCAGCAGGAUUUGCAGAGCUGUCUGCUUGAGAGGAUGCUGUCCUGCAGCAUCCGAGGAGAUGGACCUGGAGCCUGGCACGGUUAGGGAGCUCAGCCUGAAGCCCUUGUCCCAGGACCAGAAGCCUGAGGAAACAGCUGACAAGGACUUGCAGAAGAGAUCAUAAGGCAACAGCCUUUCAGCCAGACGCACACACACAGGCUGCCUGGACAGCUGUCUGAGCCCGUCUGUCCCAGCUGGAACAGCACGCCUCUCCUCUGGGUAUAAAGGAACAGUGUUUUACAGCUUGGAAGUAAAAGGAAAAAUCUACGAUUAAGACACAUUUGAGCGCUGUGACAAUGGAUACCUGCUGGGAGGCUGGCUUUGCUCCUUGAGUGCCCAGAUAACAACAGUGCCUGGUGUAACUCAGGGUACCUUCAUGUCUUCUGCAUGACCAGGUAGAAAUGGUCUGAACAUGGUUCCUGCCAGGGGAAAAUUGGAGUUCAUUCAUUCAUUCAUUAAUUCAUCCAUUCAUUCAUUCUGCAUACCAUUAUUUUUCAGACCCUUCCAAACACCACAGGCAGAAUACAGAAUAGAGGAUGAGAACAGUCUCAUCCCAGGUUGCAGAAAGACUGAUUUAUUGGUAGCAGCAGUAGAGACGUUUACUGCGUUCCCCUUUUCAAAAUUGCAUCGUGCCAUGGUUGCAGACACAGGCCUGGAAUUUUACUACUUUCCUCUGUUAGCAAUACUUAGUAGGAUGCAUUUCAUCGAGGUUCAAGUUCAAGAGCUUCUUAGUGCUGGUAAAGAAAACAAGGGAGUUGUUAACUGCCCAUCAGCAGCUGCUGCUGCUGUGAACACUGAAGGGAAAUUCUCCCUUUGCUGAUGUUUCCACAGUUCUGCUAAAGUCCCAGCUGUCUCACUGCUGUUUUGGUCAUGCUAUGUCUCAGCCAGGUAUCUCGAUCUUUAAGGAAGUCUGUAUCCAGCUUCAGCUUUUACUGUUAAUGGCUGGUAUAACUAACACGGGGCCUGCCGGCCAGUUUUGUGCUGAGUUGGCAGGUAUUUGCUUCUUAACUUGCUCUUAAAGGUUUUGGGGCCAUCUCUAAUUCACAAUUGCCUUUAAAACUUUAUUAUCCCAGUAAAUCCUGAAAUAUUUUUUUUUUAUUGAAGUUUGAAGUUUUAUUCUCAAGGAUAACUUUUAUUUGUACUUUUGGAAAUGAACUCUUUUAAUGUCGAGGUUACUGUUUGUGCAGAGAAGUAUUAUCCGAAAUUUAGGAACCAGGAUGCCUCUUAAGAAUCUGUGUGCCUUGUAAUUAAAAUACAUGCAAAAACGGUUUUCCCUUUCCCAGCUUGCUGAAACUUCAUAUCUGAUCUGACACUUUUCUACUUUGCAAGACAAAUUUCAUCAGUUUUUAUUUCAUUUUUUUCCAUGACAUUCACUUUGGCUGCAUGUUGGAGAAGCAACAAUGAUUGCUGUAACCUGCCUGUGAUAUUUGGACGGCUAUAGAUGAAAAUAGAGGUUCUUAGAAAACAGCAGCCGUACUACCAAAAUUGCUUCUCUGUCUGGGAAAGAAUAUUGCAUUAUCUAAAAUCAGUUCUGCACAGGAUUUGCAUUAGAAUCUGUAAAAGAUUGAAAGCAAAGCUGUGCCAGGAAUUUGAAGAGCUUCUUGCAGAUUUUUAGAUUCCUGCAGUUUUCAUUUGAAGUGCUAAUGCUAAGUCUUCCUUUUGAAGAAGGAUGCCAUAAAAUAUGAGAGGCCUACAACAUCAAUAAAAGCUUAAUGGUGUCCUGAGCUUUCAUCUGUUGGAUUUGCUGCUACAACUUCUUGGAUUUAAUGAGUGUCUCCUACAGCCUCAUCAGUUAAUCCAGGGGCGAUUACAGCCACUACCACACUCAGAGAGCAUGCAGUGAGAAGGGGGUGUUCAGACACGGGGCCACGGGCGCGCACACAGCCCAUCACCAGAUUUCAGGAAGGACCCAUGUGUGACAGACAUUUUAGUUCGUUUCUUUAUAAACGAGCAUCAAAAUCCUUUGCUAAAAGUGGGUGAGAAGAGCCUUGUGUGGAUUUACACAAGCCAUACACAACUAGGUAUAAUGUAUGUAAUUGAGCCUCGAUGCACUUUUCACAAAUGACUGUUGACAGACCAGAACUGGAACCAACAAUGGCAGAUUGCUGCUCUGGGUCAACACUUCGUCCAUUCCUCCCGUUCCAGCCCUGUGAAGAGCCCAUGUACCAAGGUGAUGAAAUCCACAAUAGCUUAAAGCCUGUGGUGAGCUCCACUGAAAAUCCCAAGAGCUAAACUGACUUUUGAAAUCAGCGUAAUUUAAUUAUGCUUAUAAAUGAGGCUCUUCACACGCAACAAAAAACAAUUCAAAAGGAAGAAAUUUGCUGUCUUUUAAAUACUUUCCAGAAUACACUAAUAAUUUAAAGUAUUCCUCUCUCUGCUUUGCAGAUCACAUUAUUUAGAAAUUGCAGUUCACAUCUGAAAACUCCAAGAAGUGAUUCAGACCAAAUAAGGUCUGAACUGGCAGCUUGUGGAGUUUGUUCCAAUUACAGGGUCAGCCAAAGCAGGACAUUUUAUAAUUACAGAUCUGGGCUGUUGUUCUUGCUGAUUAAUGCGUUUGGGUGCUCAGCCAUUCUUACAGAAGGAAAGACAAAAGCGUUGUUGGAGCUUUCUCAUUUGUUACAGGCAGAGUCCUCAAGCAGCCGAUGGAAAUGCUGACACAGAAAUACACUGAAAGCAGACAUACGGACUCAACAACAACACUUUCAUCUUAAUAACCUUUCAGACAAAAAUCAUGCGUUAUACAGAUUCAGAGUAAGGCUCUAUCAUGUUUACUUUUAACUUGUAUCAAAGGUCAGUAUCGCUCAGCUUUUCUCAGAGUCCAAGUCUAAUCUUCCCAGCGCGUUAGCUGACCCUAGAAAUGAAUUCUACAGCUGGAAAACCUGCAUAAAGGAGGGAGGAAAAACAGAAUCGCUAAAGUUGUUGAAAACAAAAAUCCUUAACGUUCCAAUUAAUGAAAGCAUGUUCUUUCAAAAGCAGCUGUUGUUAACGUCUCUAAGAUGGUUACUGUGCAAAAGCAGAGUUCCUUCCGUACUGCACAGUCCAAAGUGCUGUAUUGUCAGCUAACAAAAUCCCACCCUAACUAAUGCACGGCAUUCAGGAUGCCUCACUCGGUGCUAGAAUUUGUUGCACGCUUCACAGUAAGCAUUAUCCUAAGGUAUUGAACCAGUCCAGGGAAAUCAAUACUCUUGCAAACAGCCUUCUCCCCUCCCCCACUCCCCCAAAAUAAAAAGAAACAGAAUGGAGAUGCAAAGAUCAAAUAGCAAGUUUGCCAUCUGGGGAGAAGACAGACAUUGAAGGAAGAUCGUUUUUUCUGUGCAAAAAGGUAAUUUCUUCAUAUCGGCUCCCACCCUCUGCUUCAUUGGAGGAGUACCUCCCUUGCUUUGACCAGUGUACAAAAUAUCUUUUCAAUUUGCUUUUAUUAUUGUAAUAGCUCAACCUGUAGUUCGCAUUUUAUAGAGAUGCAGAAAAUUAGAAUGUACAACAGAAGUCCAGUCUUCCAGAGCAGGAUGGUAAUUGAACAUACACAAAAUGCCAGGAUUACUGAUACAGACUUUUCUGCUAAGUAUCGCACUUAGAAAAUUAUGGAAUAUGCUUUUCAAACCUGCAGUGAAAGGAGUGUAAGCAUGGCAGUUGUAGCUCCAGUUAAUUUGCAUAGAAGACUGCGGCAGUUCCAAGACCUGGCUGGUCGCCAGGUGCUCACCAAGCCUUUCUCUCACUCCCUCUCCUCAGCAAGAUGGGGAAUGUCAGAGAAAAGCUUGUGGGUAGGGAUAAGGCCAGGGAGAUCACUCACCAGGUACCGUCAUGGUCAAAACAGAUGCAGGCUGUGGAGGGCUGAUUACAUUUAUUGCCGAUUAAUAAUCAACUAGAGUAGGGAGAGCUGAAAGCAUACUAAAACCACCUUCCUCUCAGUCCUUUUCUUCCCAGGGUCAACUUCAAACCUCCUCCGCCAAGCAGUGCAGGAGAAUGGGGGCUGUGGUCGGUUCAUAUCGCUUCAUCUUGCUGCUUUUCCACGGUCGUGUGCUGCUCCUGCUCCACAUGGGGUGCCUCCCACGGGAUGCUGUCCUUCCCAAUCUGAUUCCAUGUGGCUGCAGCUCUACAUGCACUGCUCCAACAUAGCUCUGCAUCACAAGGCCCACCCUUCAGGCACUGCUCCAGCAAGGGGCCCCACAGGCAGCUGCUGCCUCUGCCCUCCGGCUCCACUGCAGGCUCCUGUCCAUGGGCUGCAGUUGUGGCCCAAGACCUGCUCCAGUGUGCACUCCCCCCAGGGUGCAGCUUCCUUCAGAGCACAUCCAAUUGCUCCAGUGUAGAGUCCCAUAUAGGCUGCAGUGUGGAUACCUGGCCCACUAUGAGCUUCUGUGGGCUACAGGGAACAGCCUGUCCCAUCGUGGCCUUUCCCAGUACCCGCAGGAUAAUCUGCUCUUCCUCCGCCUUUUUCACUGACCUUGGUUUCUGCAGUGUUAUUUCUAAUUUUUCUUACUCCUCUCUCACAGCUGCUGUGCAGCAUUUUUCAUCCUGGCUUAAAUACGUUACCAGAGCCACCACAGAGUCACUCACAGGCUCAACUUUGUCCAGCAGCAGGUCCCUCUGUGAGCUGGCUGGAACUGGCUCUCAUCUGACCUGGGGUAGCUUCUGGGCUCCUCUCCCAAGCCUCCAGCCCUCCCUGCUACCAAACUCUUGUCCCCUAAGCCCAAUACAAAGACCCUGUCUCUGAAGUUUCAUUUUAUACUUAUUGAAGGUGAAUGAAUAUGUACUACAGAACUGAAAGUAUUUCUGAGGAUGACCUGAACGGGAAUAGGUAUGCUGUACCUUGAGGAAAGGACAGACCACAUCCCCUGCCUCCAUCAAAAAUACAUCUGGACUACUGGAGUGCCAGAACUUUUUGUUUUGUUGACCCUAUUGUACAUUUCAUACUUCACUACUAUACUAACAAUAGUUGCCUAAUCACUAAGCAGUAAAACAGCAUUUACUCGCUAAGAUAGUUAUCAAACUACGCUUAUUUUGUUUGUUUAAAUCCACAGCUUUUAUAGAUUUUACUGAACAAAUGCUGGUUUCAUUAUCCUAGUAAUGACCAAACACACUGAUACUGGAAAUGAGAAACAUUUAUUACAGCUGCUCCAUUAUUUCCAGCAAAACUAAUGGAGUAAGUAAAGUUCAGACAUGUUCAUUGUUUAAUAAUUUAAGUAAGCAAAACAAAAGUCCUAAAAAUAAUUUUCUUAAGACUAUUCUACCUACAGCACUAUUCAGUGAAACACAAAAACAAUGAAGUACCAAUAUUUGCUAUACGUGACAAAGAAACUCAAAGUCAGCUAAUGACUGCUACUGCUAAAUAAAUAGAAACAAAAUGUAAGAACUUUUCUUCCAUUGAGAGAGAAAGCUGUAAA